rnacentral:rRNA from 1 species
AUUGAACGCUGGCGGCAGGCCUAACACAUGCAAGUCGAGCGAGUGGCGGACGGGUGAGUAAUGUCUGGGAAACUGCCUGAUGGAGGGGGAUAACUACUGGACACGGUAGCUAAUACCGCAUACAAUCUGCUGUGCCCAGAUGGGAUUAGCUAGUAGGUGGGGUAACGGCUCAACUAGGCGACGAUCACUAGCUGGUCUGAGAGGAUGACCAGCCACACUGGAAAUGAGACACGGUCCAGACUCCUACGGGAGGCAGCAGUGGGGAAGAUUGCACAAUGGGCGCAAGCCUGAUGCAGCCAUGCCGCGGGUAUGAAGAAGGCCGUCGGGUGGUAAAGUACUUUCAGCGGGGAGGCGUUACCCGCAGAAGAAGCACCGGCUAACUCCGUGCCAGCAGCCGCGGUAAUUC